AGGGCUCACGGUGGAUGCCUAGGUGCCAAGAGCCGAAGAAGGGCGCGGCAAGGCAGCGAAAUGCCCGGGGGAGCGGUCGAGCGCGCGGAGCCCGGGAUGCCCGAAUGGGGAAACCCGGCGGGGCGUAACUAGCCCCGUCAUCCCUGGGGGAAUGGCCCCAGGGAGGGGAACCGGGGGAACUGAAACAUCUCAGUACCCCGAGGAAGAGGAAGCAAAAGCGAUGCCCUAAGUAGCGGCGAGCGAAAGGGGCGGAGCCCAAACCGAGGAGACCGAACGGCCUGGGGGCCAAUGUCUUCUGGGGGUUGUGGGGGUGUCCGUGGAACGGCCCCAGCCGUUCUAGGCGAAAGGUGAGAGAUCAGCCGAAGGACCCUGGAAAGGGCCGUCGAAGAGGGUGAAAGCCCCGUAGGCGAAGGUUGAUCACCGGGCCAGGACACUACCCGAGUACCACGGGGCACGAGGAAUCCCGUGGGAAGCAGGGGGGACCACCCUCCAAGGCUAAAUACUCUUGGCGACCGAUAGUGAACCAGUACCGUGAGGGAAAGGUGGAAAGCACCCCGAAAGGGGGGUGAAAAGACCUGAAACCGUGAGCCCACAGACAGUCAGAGCCCUGACUUAGGUUGGGGUGAUGGCGUGCUUAUUGAAGAAUGAUCCGGGGAGUUGUUGGGAGUGGCAAGGUUAAGGGAGAGGACUCCUGGAGCCGUAGGGAAACCGAGUCCGAAUAGGGCGAUAAGUCGCUUUCAGCAGACCCGAAACCGGGCGAGCUACCCCUGGCCAGGGAGAAGGUCCGAUAACACGGACUGGAAGCCCGAACCCGUAGCUGGGACAAAAGCUUGGGAUGAGCUGGGGGUAGAGGUGAAAUGCCAAUCGAGCUCGGAGAUAGCUGGUUCUCCCCGAAAUGCCUUUAGGGGCAGCCUUGGGGUAAGGAUGUCGGAGGUAGGGCACUGGAUGGGUAAGGGGGCGCGAGCUUACCGACCCCAACCAAACCACCAAUGCCGGCAGACCAUCCCCAGGAGUGAGACGGUGAGGGAUAAGCCCCAUCGUCGAGAGGGAAAAAGCCCAGACCGUCGGCUAAGGCCCCCAAGUGCGGACUAAGUGGAGAAGGAUGUGAGGUUCCCCAGACAGCCGGGAGGUUGGCUUAGAAGCAGCCAUCCUUGAAAGAGUGCGUAAUAGCUCACCGGUCGAGGGAUCUUGCGCCGAAAAUGAAACGGGGCUAAGUCCGCCGCCGAAGCCGCGGACUUCUUGCUGAGAGGCAAGAAGUGGUAGGGGAGCGUCCCCGUCAGCGCAGAAGGAGGACCGGCAAGGGCCUCUGGAGCGGCGGGGAGUGAGAAUCCCGGAAUGAGUAGCGACAACCCCGGUGAAAACCCGGGGCGCCGAAAGCCCAAGGAUUCCUACGGAACGUCAGACGGCGUAGGGUAAGUCGGGACCUAAGUCGAGGCCGAAAGGCGUAGGCGAAAGGACAGCCGGUAAAGAUUCCGGCACCACCCGCUCUUUCGAUGAACCGAGGGGGGGCGGGGAAGGAUAGGGGGAGCACCCCGAACGGACAUGGGGUGUCGGCCCAGGUAGGCCGUAGCGCCGGAGGAAAAUCCCCGGCGACAGGCUGAGGCGGGCAGGGAUUUCUGGCUACGGCCAGGGAGACUCCUCUGAUUCCAUGCCUCCAAGAAAAGCCUCGCGGGGAGGGGAGCAGGUGCCCGUACCGCAAACCGCCACAGGUGGGCAGGGGUGAGAACCCCAAGGCGUCCGAGAGAACCCUCGCUAAGGAACUCGGCAAAAGGGCCCCGUAACUUCGGGAUAAGGGGCGCCCUUUGGGGUGUAGCGGCAAGCCCGUGAAGCUCUGGGGGGCCGCAGCGCAGCAGCUCUGGCGACUGUUUACCAAAAACCUAGGUCUCUGCAAAGGGGAGAACCCGAAGUAUAGAGACUGACGCCUGCCCAGUGCCGGAAGGUUAAAGGGAGGGGUCAGCCCGCUUAGGUGGGUGAAGCUCUGAACUGAAGCCCCGGUGAACGGCGGCCGUAACUCUAACGGUCCUAAGGUAGCGAAAUCCCUUGUCGGGUAAGUUCCGACCCGCAUGAAUGGCGGAACGACUGGAGCACUGUCUCAGCGAGGGGCUCGGUGAAAUUGCAAGGCCUGUGAAGAUGCGGGCGACCCGCGGCGGGACAAAAAGACCCCGUGGAGCUUUACUGCAUCCUGACAUUGGACUGGGGUCAGAGUUGUGUAGGAUAGGUGGGAGGCUGUGAACCUUGGACGCUAGGCCGGGUGGAGCCAACCUUGAGAUACCACCCUUGUAUUGCUAGAACUCUAAUCCCGACCCGUGAAUCCGGGCGAGAGACAGUGUUAGGUGGGUAGUUUGACUGGGGCGGUCUCCUCCCAAAAGGUAACGGAGGAGCUCAAAGGUUCCCUCAGCACGAUCGGUAAUCGUGCGUAGA
rnacentral:rRNA from 1 species